rnacentral:rRNA from 1 species
CCUACGGGGGGCUGCAGUGGGGAAUAUUGGACAAUGGGGGCAACCCUGAUCCAGCCAUGCCGCGUGUGUGAAGAAGGCCCUCGGGUUGUAAAGCACUUUCAGUGAGGAAGAACGCCUGGUGGUUAAUACCCAUCAGGAAAGACAUCACUCACAGAAGAAGCACCGGCUAACUCCGUGCCAGCAGCCGCGGUAAUACGGAGGGUGCGAGCGUUAAUCGGAAUUACUGGGCGUAAAGCGCGCGUAGGUGGCUUGAUAAGCCGGUUGUGAAAGCCCCGGGCUCAACCUGGGAACGGCAUCCGGAACUGUCAAGCUAGAGUGCAGGAGAGGAAAGUAGAAUUCCCGGUGUAGCGGUGAAAUGCGUAGAGAUCGGGAGGAAUACCAGUGGCGAAGGCGGCCUUCUGGACUGACACUGACACUGAGGUGCGAAAGCGUGGGUAGCAAACAGGAUUAGAUACCCGUGUAGUC